CAUAAUCUAUAAGGAGUCCAAGUGAGCCCAAGGGUGUCAUACCAGCUGGGGGCCUUUUGCUUCAAAACCCCUCCCCAAUUAUGACCAACCAGAUCCCCAGGACAACUGGCUGUAUCCUGGAUUUUCGGCAGGUUCAUUAACAGAUGACCCCAGGCCCUGAUCAAAACACCAGAUCAGCCUCUGCUUUGGACAUUGCUUGCCACUCUCGUCCAUGCCUUUCCUUUUUUUUCCUUCUUAAUUUCUUUCCCCUCAUCCUCCCCCCCCCCUUUUUCUUCUGUCCCUGAGGAGAAUAGCUGGAGUAAGGCUCACAGCUCUGAGCACCUAAGGGAGCCUCUCUUCCUGGGAGUAACUGAACUAGAAGAGGCCCCCAGAGAACAGAACAACAAGGAGACAUUUCGGGGGUAUGAUCCCUCCUGACACCCUUCAAGUCACACUAAACUCAACCGUCUCACUCCAUCCAGACACCAGGUAUUCUCCAUCACUUUGCUUCACGGCAGUCUGCACGGCCACACUGUAUUCUGUGCGGGGGCUCAGGAACCAGUGACCCCUCACCGUCAUGGGCAGGGGCACUGCUUUUGCCACCAGUUUUGUGGGGACAUCCUAUAGGACAUAGUGAGAAGAAGGUGAGUACCCAGGAGUCGGGCUAGCUGGUCUACCCACUCUGCAUCCUCCAACAUACCUGAACUGUCCCUCCCACUCACCCUCCCCUGGAGGUCUCACAUAAGGAGGGCCCAAGGCAGGGAAGACUCACACCACUACCACUCCCCCCCCCAAAAGAUCGUUUUCCCACUCAUACUGAGAGGAAUCACUAAUGCGGUUCAGAUUCUCCCCAGCACCCCUAACCCCCAAAUUCCCCUGACAUCCAGUUUUCUUGAGAGCUAGAGAAAAAUGACUGGUAGAGGGAGGGCCCUAAGACUGGGGGCGGUGAGGACUUCUUUUUUUGAGGAAGACUUCUCCAAGAGCACUCAGCACUGCAGGGCUGUCUCCACGGCAACAGCAAAUGCUAAGAAGCCCAGGAGGAAAGAAAAAAUGACUUAUGUUGGGGGGGGAGUGGAGGGAUGGCAGUGGUGGUGGUGGUGAUGGUGGUGAUGUUAAGCAUUCUGUUGCUGUGGCAACUGGCCUGCCAAAAGACACCCAGAUCCAAGGAAACAGUUCCAAGGGGGGGAUGGUGAGUAACCUGUUUUGAUGUUCUGUCAUCAUGUGGACCAGUUCUUUCCCACCUCCCUCUUCUCCUUUCCUUUUCCCCCAGUUUGGGAAAGUGGAAACUUUCCUUCUCUGCUCUCCACACUCCUCAGAGUGGAGGUAUCCCCCUGAAGAAGAGAGAUGCCUCCCAGGUGAAGGAAAAAGUGGGUAACAACAACAUCUUCCCAGACAAACUGUGGUAGAGAGUAGAGAAUAGAGAUAGUCUGAGGAUGAAACUUGCCACUGAUCAAGAGCUGGGGUAGAAGAUAGGAUCAUACCCUUGGCCAUGGGAAAUCUCCCAGCCAACACCCCAAGGUGGUUCUAGAAUCUAAGGUGGCCACGGGAUUUGAACUUGAGACUUGGGCCCCCAGGUGUUAUAAUCCUUCAUCUUACCACUCCUAGUUCUUCUUGGCCACCCUGAAGCCUCAAGAAUCGUUCAAGUGGUAUUACUGUGAGUUGUUUGAGUUGUGGGUAUGGUCUAUGUGUACGUGAAGGGGGUGGGGGUGUUUGAUCACAUUGUUUCUCCCCCAACGUGCCACCUACUCACCCUAUGCUUGAAUUUGUUGGAGUUCUUAUUCUCCUUCUUGUUGAGGUCAAUGAAGUAAUGAGUGACUCUCUCUAGGUCACUGCCCUCCAUGGCCCAGGAGAUGCGAAAGGAGUCACAGGUGAUGUUAUUGAUCUCAAUGCUGUGUGGGGUAGACAGCAGCAUCUCCAUGCUCUCCUCUGGCUCAGCUCCUAGGGGAAUGGCGGUGGGGCAGUCAAUGCUAUUUCCCUAUGGUUUCCCCAAGACCAUUUCUUCCUAUCAUCUUCCCCAGCCCACUCCACCUACACACAUAUGGAAACCUAUGUUCAGAGAGGGCAUGCACUGCAGCUAGGCUAAGGUCUCCACAUUGCCAGAUCUGAUCUCAGAGGAGCAUUCAGGGGGAACUAGGGUUAUUUUAGAGUGGGGAGACUAUCCAUAUCCCCCCCCGGGAGGUGGGAAGGGUGCUGUCUCCCAUUCUGCAGCCCCCUGCAGUUCUCAGCUCUCUGCAGAGGGGAAGGCGUAGCAGACGGCACCUGGCAGGUGGCAGAAGCAAUGAAAAUGUUGAAGCGCAGGGCAGGACAGAUUCAGAGCAGAUGGAGCUGGGGAGGAAGGGGGGUGCCUCUGGGCUAGUAGCAGGCAUCAAAAAAGAAAGGGACAAUAAUAGGGGAGGGGAAGGGACGAAGAAAAGAGAAAAUGAAGGGGGAUAGCAAGAGGUCACUUUUAAGGACCAUAAUAAGGCAAAAGGGAAUAGAUUCAGAGAUCCAGUUGUCACAGGGAUCUUGGAGAGAUGGGGUAUAUAUUCUCUCUUUUAUCUCUUUUUAAAAAGAGACUCAAAACUCAAUUAGGUCAGUAGUACCCCACCCCUUACAGGUAACACAGGUGUGUACAGGUGGAGAACAGGUAUGUACAGAAGUAGUUCAUGGAUAGGAUGUAGGUGUCAUAUUCUAAUAUCACAAGCCAUGGCUUUCCUCCUAUGCUGUUAAUAACAGUCAGCCCUUGGAUUUCUCUGCCUUUAUUCUCUCCCCUCCAUCUUUUGGAAUCUCCAUUUAUUUCAUGCUAUCACAAUAUUUUUCUCCUUCCUUCUUACUUGUCCUGUGAGUGCCUGAUGCAUAGCAUCACCUGUUUUGUUUCCCUUCCCCACAAAAACUCCUUUACCCUUCUCUCUGAUCCUAUAUCAGAGUUGUAUCAAAAGAUAAUCAUGACCAUUUAUAUCUUAAUCAGGCUUGCAAAGAACAAUCUCCUGACGACAACUGAGAGUUAGGUGGCAUGAGUAUUAUUAAGUCCAUUUUACAGAGGUGAAAACUGAGACUGGGAGAAAUUAAGGGACUUGCUCAUAAUCACCAGAGGAGAUUUUUAUCUGAGGCAGAUCUUUUGGCCUCCGGUCAAAACUCAGGUCUUUAGACUUAAGAGCUCAUGUGCUAUUUAUACAUUAUGCCACAACUUGUCCUGCCACACCAGGAGUUGUUUUUGUUUUUGUUUUUGUUUUGCUUUCCCUCCUGGUUUCAGUUAUGCCCAUUAGCACCAGUACCAGCAUGAGUGGUUUUAACUAAAAGGGGCCAAAGAGGAAAGAAGAUGACUCAGCCAUGUAUCAAAGAUACCACCCAUUGGUGUGGUCUCUUCAGGCAUGGGACUAGUAGAAGUAAAACGACCAGGAUACCAAGUUAGAGACUCCCCUUGAAGAGAAUGUCUCUUCUCUUUGAGAAGAGGUCUAAUCUUGUUCAGGGAAAGAGGAGGAAGUCUGGAGAAGAGUGAUCAGAAGGGACCUGGUCCCUGGGAUCUCUCUCCCCUUUCUUUUCCUUUUACAACUCUUUCCCAUUCCAUCUCUUCUCUCUUUUCCUCUCCAUCACAUACUGACCUAUGGUAUAGUUGAAAGAAUUUAGGACCUGUAGUGAGGAAAGUCCUAGGCUGAAAUCCUACCUCUGAUGUUUACUAGCUAUGUGACUUGGGCAAGUCACUUAACCUUGGAGUCUCCAUUUCCUCAUCUGGGAAAUGGGACAAUAAUGUCUACUACACAUAUUUAUUAUACAGAACAACUUAGCUAAUUUCAUUAAGCACACUUUCAAGUGCUAUAUAAUUUUUGGUUAUUUUUCUUAUCUGAUUCCUUUUUUUUUUAACCCUUAUCUUUCUAAACCCUUACACUACUAAGUUUUAAUUCUAAAAUAGGAGUGUGGUGAGAGCUAGAUGAAUGGGGCUAAUUGACUUGCUCAGGGUCACACAACUAGAAAGUAUCUGAGGUCAGAUUUGAACCUAUGUGCUCCUGACUCUAGGUCUGUUGCUCUAUCCGAUGUGUGACCUAGCCCUACUUGUUCACUUUCACUCUUUCAUCUCUUUCCUUAACUCUGUCCACAGCCUGGGUCCCUACAGCAGAAUACCUGGCUUUUCACUGAAUGGAAUCUUCUUGUCUCCUCUAUCCAUUUUCCAGUGAGUAAGGGGGAUCUGUGAUGGGUUUAGGAAGCAGAUUUUUCUUUGUACCUACCCAAGAAGUAGGUGCUUUUGUUUCUAGCUAAUAGAAGUUCAACUUACAUUUUCCCCUUCGGUUAAGACUGCUCAGAGCCUGGCACCCCCACAUUUAAUUGUGUGAGACGUUUGGGUGACAGGUACAAUGUAUGCAUAUGAGUGGGGGUAGGAUUGAGCCUUUAAUGGUGUCAUUUCUGUAUUGUGCCUUCGUUUUUCUACCUUAAAAUCCUUCCUUGCCACUCAUGAAGCUUAAUCAGCUCUCCCUGUACCAUGCCAGCCUUUAGCACAGUACCUGGCACACAGAAGAGGCUUAAUAAGUGUUUAUUAACCAACUGACAGCAUCAUUUGAAUGUCUCCCUAGAGUGCAUGGCAUAUGAGCAUGGGAAGGGAUAUAUAGAAGUGAGGAGCCUUUGGCAAAUAAACGGUCAAAUGCCACCCAAGAAAAACCAACCAUAGGAUUACAGAACAGAAUCUGCUGCCCUGGGAGAACCCCUAGGUGAAAGAGUCACCUAACAAAUCACUGAGACAUGACUGGCAAUACCAAGCAAACCUCUCUACCUUUGCCAUGUCCACCUCAAACUCACAGAGAUGGCUGUAAGCUUCAGCCUAGCCUUGACAUAUACCCAAGAGGCCCCUUUGCCAAUUUAUAUGGAGGAGGCAGGAAUUCCUAGAUCGAUGCCCAUACCCCAUCAGGUUCUAUUGAAGGGAAUAGCUGCUGUCUGAUGAGGGAGGGUCUGGGGAAUGGGUUCUUCAAUGCCUUGGCUACUGUCCCUCUCCUAAUAAUUUUCGGUACUCUCCCUAUGAUCUGGGAAAGCUAAGAAGCCUCCACCAUCCUUGCUCUAGGAGUAUGAAGAUGGCUGAUACUGAGAGAGCCAUGAAGCUAGAGCUCCGGUGGACAGAGGGUGGGGGUGAACCAUUCCAUCUCCUCCGCCCAGAUGAGUUGGGGAAGGGCAGGGUUUGAGGGACAGGCUGAGGCAACACCCUAGAGAAACACCUCCACUCUCAUGUACACAUACAUACAGACAUACGUUCACACACCCACAUAUCGGCACAUUCACACAUAUACACUGCCCCCCACCUACACAGGAGUAUAUCCACCCCCAUGUAUACCCCUUCCCCCACAGCCUGAGCAUACCAACUCACAUACUUCCACAGGGCCACUCCAGCUCCCCACAAACACAAUCUUCUAUGCAUUCAUAUGCUUUUUGCCUGAUUACCUUAUAUUUGAAAAGUCCCUCACGCUUAUCCCACCCACAUAGCCAUCAUAUAUGUAGAUGUCCUCAUGUAUGUACAACUCAUAUGUACUCCUACUCACAAGUCAUAGUCAGGGGUAAGCGCAUACAGUAGGAACAGACACAUGCCUCCACCUCCACAAGAAACCAAUGAGUGCCCACAUCCACACAGGGAUGCUCUCUCAGGGAGGGUCCUCCCUCGGCACACGAGCACAUGAAUGUGUGCAUGCCUAACUUGCCUCUGGAUAGGCUUUAGCAAUGUACUGUGUGUCAAGGCUGAAGCAAUCCUAGGCGGAAUAUAUACCCCCAGAGACCUGCCUAUAACAACACCGUCACACAUGAACGUUUAUUCUCUCUCCCACCUACCAACCACUUUCUUGCUCUAUGGUUAUGCUUCCCCAUAUGGAGAGGCAGUGGGUGGGGGACCCCCUCACAUGCAUGUGUGUGCAUGCAUGACACAUACAACAUACCCACGCCAUGCCCAUUUCGCUGAAGGCGUGCACAUGCCAACACAUACCAAAGUAGCCCUCCUCCAAUAAACUGCUCCCAGGCUCUUCACAUGGACACUCACAUGGACACAGGAACUCAUAGACUGGUACACAUGGUCACACAGGUUAAAACACAUACCCAGCACUGCCACCCCCCUCCUACCCUGCACUCAUAUUUCUCUGUGCAUCUAGGGAGAUGCACCCCCCCCUCAACAUGCACACAUGCUGCGCACACAGGCACCCAUAUUUCUGCCACGCACAUACCCACGAGCAGCCCAUAUGCCACCAGAAACCUUUCCUCCUAACCUGCUGUGUCCCCAUUGGCACUGUUCACUGCAGCAGGGCUGGUCACGAGGUGACUGAGCAGUAUUGUGCCCCAGAGCCUGAGUCCAGUUCUCACUUUUACCAAAGGCCCCCUGGGAAGGGGAGGGGGCAUGCCAUUUGUCCUACACGCAUGCCAGGGUGAGUGUCCAGUGCAGGGCCAAGAGGACAGGAGUCUGCAUCUCCUAACUGUCCCCCCUCCAUUAUCCCAGUGCUUGCAAUGCCCCCACCCCCCACCCCACUCACCCCGGGGGCAUCAGGUUGCUCCUGGGAGGGAGAGUAGCUUACCUGGCUCCACCAGGUACUGCAGAAGAAGACCUGACAAGGACGGGGACCACUGUCCGGACCUGCUCCCCUGCGGGGCUGGAGCCAGCAGAAGGUACUGCACUCCUGGCUUUACAAGCAGCAGCACUGGCUUGCUGGGCUCUUGGCAGCUGAGGACCUUUCUUCCAUGCGGCUUCUUCCCCUGGCAGCGCCUGUCUUCUCUCUCUCUCUCUCUCUCUCUCUCUCUCUCUCUCUCUCUCUCUCUCUCUCUCUCUCUCUCUCUCUCUCUCUCAGGCACACACUGUCUGCCUGCUCUCUCCUUAUGAAACGUCCGCUAGACUCACAGGAGAAAAAGAAAAAUCAAAGCAGCGUGUGUGGAGGGGAGAGACUAGGGAGAGAGCAAGACGAGAGAGAGGUACAGGGAGAAGAGAGGGGGUGAGAGAGAGAGAGAGAGACCAACUGAAUCUGGCUCCACCAAUGGGAUCGGUGACUGCACAGCGUCAGGUGAUAAAAGAAGCUCUGUCCCUGCUCUCUCCCUGGAGCUGGGUGGGAGGAGGAAAGGGCAGGGGGGGGGGGUCUCCCAGGGAACAGAACAGAGUUGCUUUUGAUGAUGACUGAUACCCUUUCCCCCAUCCUUCCUGGAAAAAAAAAAAGUUGCCCCUUCUGGGAAAUGUCUGCAGCCCCUAACUUCAGAAUGAUGCUCCCUAGGCAAAGGGGGUAAGGAAUACUCAGUCAAUCAACACUCACUAAGCACCUACUGUGUGCCAGGAACUGUACUAAGUGCUCGGGAUACCAAAAAGGCAAAAGAUGGUCCCUACCCUCAAAGAGUUUACAAUCUAAUGGAGAAGACAUUUAGCAAACAAAUAGGUACAAACAAGCUGUGUACAGGAUAAAUGGGAAAUAAUUAAGAGAAGGCACUGGAAUUAAGAAGCAAUGGGCCAAGAAGUCCCAGUGCAAGAUUUCUGAUUGGGGAAAAGGAGAAAAAGAGAAGAACUAGUAGGUUGGAGAUGGGAUCCUAUUUCAAGAGGCAGGUUAUCAAUAGAUACCUGGGUUCUAUCUUUAGCUUUGUUCUUGUCCUGGUCUUACAAUUUUAAAUCAAGGGGGAGCUCAGUUCCCUUCCCAGUAACUUAAAAGUUAGCAAAGCCUUCUGCAGAAAGGGGUGGGGUAGUGAUCUGUGCUUGGUUGACUAGCGUCAGCUAGAAGUUAAGAAUCUAUUAGGGAAAGGAGUGGGAGAAAGCAGUGGAGCCAGAAGGGUGUGGAAAAUACACAUGAAGGAAAAAGGAUGUCAGAGUUUGGGGAGAACAAGCAAUUAGUUAACUGUGCCCAUCCCUGUUAAAACUUUAUUGUCAGGAGAAGAAAAGCACAGGGUCAAUCUCAGGGACCACACAAAGCACACUGUCUUGUGCCCUGGACCUCAGAGCAUAUACUUCUGCAAGAAAAUAUUCUAUUUGCCAAGGAAUGAGGAUCCUGAGGUGACACUUGGGAGAAAAAAUGAUUUCGGGGAUUCUAAUCACACAACAAGCAUUGAUGGAGAAACUACUAUGUCACCUAAUACUUUGAGAGAUGCCAAAAGGGAAAAUAAUAAGAGAUAGUCACUGCCCUCACGAAACUAAUAACCUUGUUCCUAAGAUUAUAUAUGUGAAACAGCAAAUGAGAGACUAAACAUAAUGCACAAAAUCUGCCACCUGGAUAAUUAGUUCAACCUGUAUUCAGAGAACAGCAAGAUUGGUUCCAUUUAACUCAAUUCAAUAAGCAUUUGCUUACUGUGUACUAAGCACUAGGGAUGGGGUUGGGGAUUCUGUGUGCUGAAGUAUUGGGAAUGAGGAGUGGGGCUGGGAAGAACAUGGCCCCAGACACAAACUGGAUGGACCUGUGAUUUUAAUUGUACAGGGAACUCCCAAACAUGAAGCUACCUCUAUCAAUGAAAGCUAACAUCUGCUCCAUAGGGGGCACAGAGAGGUCAUUUGACCUGCUUGAGCCAGAUGAUGUCAGAACUGGAACUUGAACUCAGAUCUUUCUGACAUUCUGAUGUUCCUGAGUAAAUGCAAAGAAAUUUAGAGGGGUAGGAGAAGAGAUCAGAAAAGGUCUCCUAGUAAGAGUGAUACUUGAGUUGUAUUAGUGAUUAUGUAAAAUCGAGUGAGGAAGGAGACCUUUUCAGCUUGGCAUAGGCCUGGGGGUAGGAGAUAGGAAUGCUAAAUUGGCACACUUGGUUAAAACAAAGAUUGCAUGAAAGGAGGUAAUGCAUAAUCAGCCGGGCAAGACAGAUUGGAGCCAAACUGCAAAGAGCUUUAAAUACCAAAUUCAGUUUAUAUUUUAUCCUCGGACCCCCAAAGAUUUUUGUGGAGAAAGACUGACACUUUUUGUGUCAGUCAAGAUCUAACCUGUGCUUUAGAAAUAUCAUUUUGGCAGCUGCGUUGAGGAUGGAUUGAUGGAUUGGAGAAGGAAGAAGUUAGAUGCAGAGAAGACUGAUUCAGGCUAGAAUAAGCAGGGAAGGCCUGGGUAAGGAGAUGGGGUGUAUCAAGGAAGAAGCAUUGGGUUGAUGGAGUAGGAGUGAUAAUGGAAGGAAGUAUACUGGAAUAGAAAAGUAUAAUGGAAGGAAGUAUAAUGGAAUCUCCCCUGAAAGAGGGGAGACAGGUAGUAACUCAGUGAUGGGAAGCAAAGUUGUCAAUAGCAGGGUUGUGAAGGAGGAACAAGGAGAACUUUGGGCAAAAUACUUCAGGAUGCUGGUGCUGGGCUUUGGGAAUUGGCUGUGUCAGAAUGGGCAUUCCCAGAGGGCUACUUCCAAGGCUCAGGAGAGAAGGCAUUGUAAGAGGACAGGACAAGUAGGGGUGGGUAGAAAGGGAAGAAGAGUUCAUAUGCCCAAGACAAACAAGAGCCAGUCUUGGCUUCAAUGGGUGGAGAGCCCAAGCAAGUUUUGUCAGAUUCUGAACCACAGAAUGCAGUGGGGUAGAGCAAAGCUGGAUAAAUGACUCCCUUUGCCAAGUAACUAGGCCCCUCCUCUCACACACCUACAGUGAGAUGUCAAAACACAGAAGAUAAGCAAACUGAGCUUGUGGAUAGAGUCCAGGGUUAGACAUUAAGGAGACCUGGCUUUUGGUCCUGUUUUCUAUUACCAUUUGGGAUGGGCAAUAUGAGCCCCAGGAUUUGGUUGAGUUUCUUCCUCUGUAAGAGGGGAGGUCAGGCCCUGCUCCCUCCCUAGAUGCUAGGUAGGUGAUGCAUGGAAAUAUUUCUGGUUUGGAAUGGUGUUGAGCUCCAGGGAGUGAAUAAUAACUAAAUGUGAAUAAGAAUUAAUUGACUGAAUGCAUAUUUGUGGGCCUCUGAACUAAUAGCUGGAGGGAAUAGUAGAUGAAAGCAGAGGUGGCAGUGGUAGUUAGAUCUUCUAGAGGCUUCUAUUCCCACUUAUAUAACCUGUUCUCCUAUCUUUUCAAGGCCCCAACACUAUCCCUACAGAUUGUCUCUCUGAAAAGUAAGUGCUAUCAUCUCCCAUCCCAUCCUCCAUCCUGGAAACUUCUUUCUUUCUUUGCCUAUUUUUCCUCUUGCCUCAGAGGAUUAAAGAAUAUCUUUCUAUACCAAGGCUAACUUAUAUCAAGGACUCCAAUUCCCUCCACAUCUUUAAUGUACUUGUUUUCAAUCUUUCUCCCUCCUUCCCCAUCAUCAGCAGACAAGCUCAAACCCUCCCUAUCCUAAAAUAAAUAGUCCUUUCAGGGGCCCUGCUACCUGUGUGUGCUAUCAUCUUAACUUCUCUUUCCCCUUUGCUGCUAAAAUGAUGGAGAGAAUAAUUUACACUUAACCACACAUUUUGUCCCCUGCAAUCUGGCUUUUUAUCCUCAUGGAGCUGAUGGCCCCUUAAUUGUAAAAAUCAAAUGGCCUUUUCUCAGUUCUCAUCUUCCUUGCCUUUCCUGCAGGAUUUGCUACACUCUUGCUCACUUACACCUUCUUAAUGCUUUCUUAUCCUUCGCCUACUGUGACACUGUUCUCUACUGGUUCUCCUCCUACCUGUUUAAUCGCUCUUUCUUCAUCACCUUGGGUGGUUCCUUUCCUCCCACCCGGUAAGAGUGGGAAUUCAAUUCACAGAAUCAUAGUCAUAGAAUCACAGAAUUUCAGAACUGAAGGGACUUACUUCAGUGGUCAUCUAGUACUCUUUAAUCCAUUCCUAAACAAGAAUCAACCAUUAUGAUGUACUGGACAAAUCAAGACAAGACAACAAAGUCUAUUGAUUUAGUUUUAAGACUGGGUCUCCAUGUCUCACCCAGGCUAGAAAUGCAGAGGAUAUUCACAGGUCUGAUGCUCUACUGCUCCACACAGUAUUUUUGACUUACUCUGUUUCUGAUCUUGAUUAAUUUACCUCUCCUUAGACAAUUUGAUGGCUUCCCACUCCUGAGGGAUCACAAUAUUGAUCCCAAACAGUACAGGUGCCUGAUUGUCUUAAGCCAUCAAAGCCCAGAAUUCUCAAGCUCAAGAGACCUGCCAAUUUUAGCCUAUCUAGAAGAAGGGAUUGUAGGCAGGUGCCACCUUACUCAGUGGCCAGGGAGCCUUAGAGUGCAAUAGCAAGGUGGGUGGUAUGGUCAAUGUAUCUAGUAGAGGGAUCAUGAGCAGAGCAGAUAAGAUCUGCUGAACUUUCUCCUUAUUGAAGGAUUAUAUCUGGUAAAUUUCUGUUCAUUGAAGAGACAUGACUAGCCACAUCCUUGCAGCUAGGGCCUAGAAGAAGCCCAUGCCCAUAACAUUUGGGAAGAGAAGAUCCUGGUAGGAUCUAAGUAAGGCAGUCUCAGGCAUUGAAGAAGGGGUCCAGGUUGACCUAGUUGGCUCCCACCCUCCAUAACCUGAUUGUAUCCAGCCUUUAUCUGAAGAGGUCCAAUAAGGGGAAAACCAACCCUCCCCAGGCAGCCUAUUCUCCCUUUGGAUAGUCCUAAGUCUAAGAAUCUAAGGAAGUUUUUCCUUAAUGCAAACCUAACUCUUCCUCUUUGUAAUUUCUAUUCAUUGCUCCCAUUUCAUCCAAACAGACCAAAUCCAAUUGGCUAGUCCUUCAAGAUAGAAAUCUUGUCUACCUGCCACCCCCCACUAUCAAACUUCUCUUCUUCAGUCUAAACAUCCCCAGAUCCUUUCAUCAAUACUCAUAUGUCACCAGCUUGAGUCCUUCAGUCCUGCAACUUGCCCUUCUCUGGAAAUCCCUGGCUUAUUACCUUUGUUCUUAAAUUGUGGUUCCUGGAAUUGACCUGAUUCCUCCCAAUCUGGCCCAACUAGAGCAGAGUAUAGUAUGAAGAUGACCUUUGUAUUCCUGGAAAUUAUGCCUCUCUUGAUGUGGGGCCUAGAUUACCUUAGUUUUUUUGAUUCUCACAUAAUAUUGUCAACUAAAACACCAGGGGCUUUUUUUCAUUUAUUUUUUAAUUUUAAUAACAAAUUUCCACAUAAGCUUUCUGAGGUUAUAUGAUCCAAAUUGUCUCCCUCCCUUCUCCCUCCCCUCCCAGAGCAGGAAAACAAUUCAAUCUGGGUUUCCAGGCUUUUUUUUUUUUUCAUACAAACAGCUAUGAUGUACUUUUCAACUUAAAUUUGUAAAGACAAUUUCUUGAGGCUUUUUGAAGACAAUUUCUGGAAGUAAGGCUUUAGACUAAUCCUAUUACAUUUCAUCUUAUUCUAUUCAGCCCUGUGUUCUAGCCUGUCAAGAUCCUUUGGGAUCCUGAUUCAAUCAGUGUGUCAGUUAUCCCUCCUAGAUUGGCAUCACCUGAUAAAUAUGCUAUCUGUGUUUGUAUUCAAGACAUUGACUAAAGUGUUAAAUGGUAUGGAGCCAAGCACAGACUCUUGGGACACUCCACUGGAGACUUCUUUCCAAGCUGAAUAUUGUAUUAUUAAUGACUACUCUUUGAGACAAACCAUUCAAUCAGUUACAAAUCCAACUAAUUGUACUAUCACAUAGCUUACAUUCCUCCUUUUUUUCCUCACAAACACAGCAUCAACUUUUUAGUCAAAUAUUUUACAAAGUUCUAAAUUAUACUCAUACCUUAUACCUUUCCCUUAGCUUCCAGUUUUGGUACCUUGACCCAAAAUUAAACAUUUGAUCUAAAAAUAUUCAAGAAUCACCUAUUAUGUGCUUAAUGUAUUAGGUUUUGGAAAUAAGUCAAAAAUGAAACAGUAUCUCACCUCAAGGAGUUUACACUGUAUUGGGAGAAUACAUUAUGUACAUAGAUAAGUACAAACUUGCUUUGUUUUUUUAACCCUUUUACCUUCUAUCUUAGAAUUGAUACCAAGUAUCAGUUCCAAAGCAGAAGAGAGGUAAGGGCUUGGCAAUAAGGGUUAAGUGACUUGCCCGGGGUCACACAGCUCUCUAUCCACUGAGCCACCUAGCUGCUCCAUGACAGGUAUUUUUUGAUACAGAGAAUACUAACAGCUAGGUUUAUCAGGGAAAUAUUCUUGAAGGAGAUGGAGCCUGAACUAUGCCUUAAAGAAAGCUGGGCAUUCUUAUAAGCAAAGAUGAGUGGAGGUAGUCCCUUUAACUGUACAAAGGAAUGGACAUAAAGGUGAAACGAUAAAUUGGAAGAAUGGCUAGUAGACCUGUUUGCCUGGAAAGUAGUGUAUAUUGAAAGGGAAUAAUAUGAAAUAUUUCUGGAGGAGGUAGUUAGGAUCUAGGUCAUAGAGAGCUUUAAAAGCUAAGGAGAUUGUAUUUUAUCCUAGAGUAGAGCUUCUUUUAGCCUCUUUUGCCUCAUGGACCCCUUUGGUAAUCUGAUGAACCCUUCUUAGAAUAAUGUUGUUAAAUGUUUAAAAUAUACAAGAUUACAAAAGAAAUAUAUUAUACCAAAGCAAGAGGAAUCAUUUUCCCAUCCAAAUGUUUGGGAGUCUAUCCACAGGUCCCUUGGAAUCUGUGGACUCUGAUAGAGAGCCCGUGUCUUAGAGACUCUAUGUAGUAACUGAAGAUUUUUGAGUGGUGUCAUGUUCAGACUUGUGUUUUAGUAGCAUUCAUUUGGCAGCUAGCUAUGUGGAGGAUGGAUUAGAGAGGUGAAAGACUGGAAGCAAUAUGACCAAUUAGAAGGCUAUCAGAAUAGCCCAGGCAAAUAGUAAUAAGGGCCUAAGAUAGGGUGGUGCCUGUGUGAAGAGAGUGAAGGUGACAGAGACCAAAUGUCAAUGAUAAAAUAAUCAAGACUCUGUAACUGCUAGGAUAUGGUAGCUGAGGAAGAGAGAAUAACAACGGGGAAGAUUUAUGUAGGACUUUCUAUCCAUUCUCAUCUGAUUCUCACAACCUUGUGAAGUAUGCCCUUAAUUCUAAUGCCUACAAAUGCCUUUUAAUUAUUUCCUAUUUGCCCAAUAUAUAGCUUGUUUGUACAGAUUUGUAGGCUUGUUUCACACUCUCCCUUCCCCAUUAGAUUGUGAGCUUCUUCAGGGCAGGGACUGUCUUUUGCCUCUCUUAGUAUCUCCAAAACUUAGCACAGUACCUUGUUCAUGGUAGGCACCAAUACAUGUUUAUUAACAGACUCACGGUUACUAUUUUUCUUCAUUUUAAAAAUGAGGAAACUGAGACUGAGGUGCCCAGAAUUACAUAGCUAUUAUAUCUUGUCUUUGAGUCUUUCUAUCUUCAAGUGUAGAACUUCAUUCAUUAUACCACCUAGCUCUCUAUCAAAGAUGACUGAGUUUGGAGCAGCUGGGUAGCACAGAGAAUAGAGUACCAGGCCUAGAAUCAGAAGAACCUAGGUUCAAAUCUGGCUUCAGGUAAUUCUUAGCUGUGUGACCCUGGGCAAGUCACUUAACUCCAAUUGCUUAGCCCUUACCAUUUUUCUGUCUUGGAACUUAUCCUUAAUAUCAAUUCUAAGAGAGAACAUAAGAGUUAAAAAAAAAAAGAUUGCAAACCUAAGAGUCUAGAGAGAGGGGAUGCUCUGCUAUGCUGCUGCUAUAGUUAUAAGACAAAGAGAUCUGCAGUGGAGCUUGUUAACAAUAGAAUGGAGGUUCCAAAGAGUAUAUCAGAAAAGGGGAGGGCAAAGGAAGUUAUGGACUGUUGACAGGGCAUGGCUGGGAUAGAUGAGAAUGAGGGUUCAGAAAGAAAAACAAAGAUUCUGCCUCACAAGAAUAAGGUACACAAAAGCUAGAAAUUUGUCCAUGAUAGGAAAAAGGAAGAAUCAGUUGAUCUUAUUUUUGAGGGAUGGGGCAGUGGCAGGAAUGUUGGCUUCUUUGACUCUAUGUUCCAAGUACAGUGGACCUGGGGCAAAGAAAUCAAGAGACAUCUAAUGAACAGCAAAUUUCUGUCCAUUCUGUCUCUAUAAUAUCUCUUCAGUCUGCCCCUUCUUCAUUCACGUUAGCACUUCCUUAGUUCACAGUCUCCUCUAAACUGGGAAUUAACCUACCAACAUGCAUAGGACUUAAAUAAGUACAACUAGAAAAUGAUUCUCCCAGAAAUAAAGGAAGACUGAAAUAAAUGGAGACGCAUUUAAUGUCAAUAGCUGGGUCAUACCAAUAUGGUGAAAAUGAUGCUGUUGUUCAAAUUAUUUUAUAGAGUUAAUGCUAUAUUCACCAAAUUACCAAAGAAGUACUUUAUAGAAUUUGGCAAAAUAAUGCUAGAAUUCAUAAGAAGUAAUACAGGUCAUUAAUAUGUGGGAAUAUGUAUGAUACAAAUAUAUGAAAAAGGAAAUAAAGUUAUAAAAAUGAAAAAGUAUCAGAACUUGUUAUGAUAUAAUAAUUCAAAUUAUCUGAUUAUGACUAAAAAUGUUUCUUCCAUAGAAAGCACUUAAUAAAUGCUUGUUGCUAAAUAAAUCACCCACCUUUCCUAGAUACAGAUAGGAAAUGAAUUAUUUCUUUUUUAAACCCUUCUUAUCUUCUGUCUUAGAAUUGAUACAAGUAUUGAUUCCAAGGCAGAAAUGUAAGCCGUAAGGAUUAGACAAUUUGGCUUAAGUGACUUGCCUAGAAUCACAUAGCUAGAAAGAGUCUGAGGCCACAUUUGAACCCAGAUCCUUCUAAAUCCAGAACUGGCACAUAUAUCCACUGUGCUACCUAGCUGCCCCUAUGACUACGUUCCCCAUGACUUGUCUCAUAGUCUUUCAACAGUGUAAUAACUCUUUUUGUUCUAUAACCAGUACAGUUUAAUCACUAUGGUGCCUCUCUCCCAGGACCUUCAUUUUCACUCAGUCUUUACAAGGUAAUAACCAGACUUUGUGGAGAAUGAGCUGCAAAUCAAGACUAAACUGUCCUCUGCUGAGCUAUCACCACCAAGCUACACACACACACACACACACUUGCCUCCAGCCCAACUUCAACUAGUUAUGACUGCCUCAAAUCCAUCAAAUUGGAAAAUAUGAUAAAAUAUGGGGGGGGGAAUUCAUCUUGGCAGGAAUGUGGGAAAAGAAGCACACUAACUUCUUAUCAGUGGAGCUGUGAAUUAGGCCAAUAUUUUUGGAAAAUAAUCUGGAAUUAUGAAAGAAAAAUAACAAAAUUAUUCAUAUUACGUAUCCCAGAAAUUAUAUUAUUGGAUUUACAUUCCAAGGAGUUCACAAAAUCAUCAUUGAAUUAUAAAUUUAAAGCCAGAAGGAACUUUGGGGUCAUCUAGGAUAAAUGAAGAAAAUGAGGCUGGGAAAUGUCUUGCCUGGUUAUUGCCCAUCAUUGUCAGAUUCUUAGAUUCCUUUUCCUUGAUAUUUCAGACUAGUUCUCCCCCCCCCCUUACCUUCUGUCUUAGAAUUGAUAUUCAGUAUGGGUUCCAAGGCAGAAGAGUAUAAAGGCUAGGGAAUGGGGGUUAAGUGACUUGCCCAGGGUCUCACAGCUAGGAAGUGUCUGAGGCCAAAUUUGAACUCAGGCCCUCCCACUUCAGGCCUGGCGCUCAAUCCACUGAGUCAUCUGUCGCCAUCAUCUCUUCUAAGGUAUUAAUUAUUCUUGCCAUUCUUUCCUCCUUAGCUAUUCCAUUGUGUAACUCUUAUUUAGUUUCUCCCAGGUAUUCUUAUAAUCCUUGGUCAGGACAUUUUUUUUUCUCUGAGCCCCUACUUGGAUUUGUGAAGUUAUUCUCUUUUUGGAAUUAAUCUAUGAGCAUCUCUCAAUCCAAAGUAUUGCUUCAGUGUGUUGGGCAUUUUCUCCAGCUUACUCAUAUUACCAACCACAGCACUAGAACAGAGACGUGUUUGGGUCAGAUUCUGUUCCUAAUCUCUGGAAGACGGAGGUUAAAACCCACUUUCUGCAGGAAUCAUCUGGCCUUCUUUCCUGUCAUACAGGACUGGAGAUGCCUAGACACUGCUCAGGGGCCCUUGUUGCAGGUCAGAGCUGCCUUGCUCUUAAAACUGGGCUGCUUAGUUAGCAUUGUGCUUUUCACUUACCCUGGCUUGUCUCCAUUCGAGGCUUCAGCAGGAUCCUGGCAGUCCUAUGCAGUCUUGGACUGAAUAAGGGAAUUUGUAGCGGAUUUUCUGGGUUAUUUUAUUAUUGUUCAUUCCAGUUCAUUUUUAGAGAUUUCCUGGGGUACUUGUGAAGGAUUUGAUCCCUCCUAGGUCCUAACACACCACCAUCUUCCCACAAUCCUCUUUACCUGCUUAUUGACAAUAAGCAAGGUCUGUCUAUGUGAAAAUGUUUACAGUGCUAGAAGUGACAUAAAUGUUGGCAAACACUCGUACUUACCAAGCAGAAAAAAAUGUCAGCCGAAGGCAGCUCUAGUUUAGAAUACAAACUCAUAAGAUCUUACAGAUGAAAGCAUAGAUGGAGUCCUUCUUAAUAACUAAUAUGUAUUUUAAGUAACACUUUUAAGGUUUGCAAAGCACUUUACAUAUAUUCUCUCAUUUUAUUGCCACAUCAACCCUGGGAGGUAGUUGCAAUUAUUAUUCUAAUUUUAAAAGAUAAAAUAGAGAAGCCAUAUAGGGUAAAACCAAUGUAAUGAAGAGUUGGUGUAAUCAACUGAGCAGUCAUCCCAAGGACAUUUGAUUUUUUUAAAAUUUUAUUUAACUAAUUAAUUUAGAAUAUUUUUCCAUAGUUCCAUGAUUCCUGUUCUUUCUCCCCCCUCCCCCCACAUCCCCUCCUAUAGCUGACACACAAUUCCACUGGGUUUUACAUGUGUCAUUGAUCAAGACCUAUUUCCAUAUUAUUGAAAUUUGCACUAGGGUGAUUAUUUAGAGUCUAUAUCCCCAAUCAUAUCCCCAUUGACCCAUGUGAUCAAGCAGUUGCUUUUCUUCGGUUUCUACUUCCACAGUUCUUUCUCUGGAUAUGAAUAGAGUUCUUUCCCAUAAGUCCCUCAGAAUUGUCCAAGGGCAUUUGAAAGUGAAAAUGGAAGUACAUCAGAAAGGGGAAAAUGGAAAAGAUCCGCAAAGAUUUCCAUAACAAACUUCUUUUUAAACCAAAAACAGACUCCACCACACUUGGAUUCUAACGUCAUGACCCAAUAUGUGUUACAGAGGAGGUAGCACUGGAGCUAAAGAGAACAAAGAUGGGGAAAGUCGCUGUAUAAAAACCUAGAGUACAUACAGGAUAUUCAUACAAGAGGUGACACAUUUCUAACUUUUCUAUUUGCCUCUCCAAGGAGAACCAAUGAGCUAUUUUCCCAUUUAAUUGCCAAUUACCUCUUUCAUCUUAUCUUAGUGUCAUUGACACUGUCAAGAUUAGAAAAAUUAAUUUCCUUUGGUGUACAUCCUCAAUACAUAGCACAGUGCUGGGCAGAUCUGAUCAUGUAUUAUCACCUCUCUUCCCUUCCUCAAUAAACUCCAAUGGCUCCCUAUUGCUUCCAGGAUCAAAUAUGCAAAAUGCUAUUUGGCAUUCAAAGCCUUUUAUAAUCUCUCCUCCUCCGGCCUUUCCAGGCUUCUUACACCUUCUUCUCUGCCAGGGAUGCUUCCACAAACAAACUGUGAUUACAUUUUAAAAAAUCAUUUUAUGGAAGAAAUCCAAUGAAAAAAUCUCGUCAUAAGAAAAAAAUUAUUUAUGAUUGUCAUAAAAAUGUAAACAAAGCACUCCAUCCCUUGGCUCCAGGUGAUUUCUCUUGUCCCCUGUGCUUAAAAUACUUUCCCUCUACCACUCUGACUACAGACCUCCCUGGCUUCUUUUAAGUCUCCAUUAAGAUCCCGCCUUCUACACAAAGCCUUCCCCAUCCGCUCUUAAUUUCAUUGCCUUCCCUCUUUUAUUUAUCUCCCAUUUAUCCUAUAUAUUUAGUUUGCUUUGUACAAAUCUAUUUUGCAUACUGUAUUCCCCUUUAGACUGGAAGCUCCUUGAGGAUAGGGACUGUAUUUUGGCUCUUUUUGUAUCCACAGAGCUUAGCACAGACACAGUAGGGGCUUAAUAAAUCUUGAUUCAUUGACUGAAAUAGUUUACUAAAAGCUUAUUGUUUAGUUGAUAACCCCUCAUUAGUCAGAAUGCCAACAACUAAAUUAAAGUUUAUAGACUGGCUGAAAACUAGUUAAUUGCACUUUCUGCCUCCCUUUUCAUCAUACUCCAUCGUUACCAAAGGAGCAAAGGGGGACUACACAGAUCUAAGGGCCAUUUUGAAUUAAAAAAAAUUUUUUUUUAUAGAUUGUUAUGGUCAAAGAAGUCACCACCAAGUGGCCAACCUUCUGGUGAUGAGCCUUUUUAUACUUAAGUUAGUCCUCAGAAAACAUACUCUGUUGCAACUUAAACUAUAUUUAUAGCCUUUUCAGCAGGGUAGAGCCAGCCAGAAAUGGCACUGGGCUUGGAAAACUUUUGAGAAUUCGAUCACCUCCACAUUAUGAUGAAACACUGGAGUAGGACUUUGCUGAUUACCAUGCAGUAGUGAGAGCCCAUUCGAGAUUACAUAAUAAAUCUGUAGUGGACCCAGCAUUCAACCAGAAGCAUAAGAAAAGGAUUAGAGAAAGUAAAUGAUGGAGAAUAAUGAUGAUGAUCAUCAUCAGUGUUUAUGUAGUAGUUUAAAUUUUGCUAUGCAUUUUAUAUAUUAUCUCAUUUGAUACUCACAACAAUACUCUGAGAUAAAUGUUAUUAUUAGUCUCAUUUUAAGGAUGAAGAAACUAAGAUUGAGAGGUUACAUGACUUGCCCAGGGUCAGAAUGCUAGCAAACUAAGACUAGAUUUGAACUGAAGUUUUCCUGAUUUCAAGUCCAGCAUUCCACCCUCUAUGACAUACUGCCUGGGUACAAUGGGAGCAAUAUCCUAACCUACCAUCACUGGGUAAAUUAGACUAGUUUCUUUCUUAAGUGAUAUUGAAACAUCAUUUUGAAUGGCUAAUGGGACUAAAGGUGCAGGUUAUUGACAUCAUUUCCAGCUUUCCUGAGAACAUAUAAAACUGGCAUGUUUGGGGGCUCCAACUUCACUCUGAAACUUGGUUGUCCAGAGGAUGAUUAGGGUUACCCUCCCUCCUAACUCCUCUUUUUCUAGCUCUCUUAUUAAUAUCAAGCUAUCAAGGGUACCACUGUCCCCAGGUGUCAUCCUCAACUCCUCACGCUCUCACUUGUAAUAGCUAACCAAUUAUCAAGUCCUCUCUUUUCUACCUUCACACAAUCUCAUGUUUUUUUUUUCCCCUUCUCUUUCUUCUAACAUUGAUAAAACCCUGGUGCAGAUCCUAAAUAGUCUUGGACUAUUUAGUUCCUUCUUAGUUUGAGAUGCCAAUCGUAUCUCCAUUUUAAAAUGUCUAAUAGACAAAACUAAAUACAAUAGCUGGCUGGUUGGUCUUCUAGCUGUAUAUUCUCUCCCCAUUUCAGUCCAUCCUCCAUUCAGCUGUCAAACUGAAUUCCCUAAAGCCCACCUCAGUCCUGUCACCCCAGUAUUCAGAAAACUCCAGUGGUUCCCUAUUGCCUCUAGGAUAAAAUCCUUUGUUUGGAUUUAAAAGCCCUUCAUAACAUGACCUUUUCCUACCUUUCCAGUCUUCUUAUACUUUACUACCCUUUAUGUACUUGGUAAGCCAGUGAUAUUGGCUUUCUUGUUAUUCUUCAAACUGGAUAGACCAUUUCUGAACUACAGGCAUUUUCACCAGUUAUCCUCCAUGUCUCAAACACUCUACUUCCUUCCUCACUUCCCUGAUUUCAUUCAAGCUCUCAUAUAAAUUCCUAUCUUCAGAAAGAAGAAUUUCCUGACUCACUCUCUCUCUCUCUCUCUUUCCCUCUCCCCUCACCCUUUACCUUCUGUAUUGAUUCCAGGGCAGAAGAGUGGUAAGGGCUAGGCAUUGGGGGUUAAGUGACUUGCCCAGGGUUACACAUCUAGGAAGUAUCUGAGGUCAAAUUUGAACUCAGGACCUCCUGUUUCUAGACCUCUAUCUACUAAGCCACCUAGCUACCCCUUCCCACUUUCUCCAUAAUUUUAUCAAUUCACAUGGGCAUUUCCAUUCCUAAUCAUUCUAAGUUCUUGUCAUACAUUCCCAAUGGCCUAUUAGAUAUUUCAAAAUGAAUAUAACCAUAGGUACCUCAAACUCAACAUGUCCAAAGCAAAACUCGACUUUCUUCUGAACUUCUCUUUUUCUCUUCUUCCAGUUAACCAGGUUUACAACUUCAGUAUCAUUCAAGUCUCUUCACCAAACAUGUCAAAAUUUUGCCAUUUCUAACUCUAUAACACCUCUCAAAUCCAUCUCUUCUCUCUCACAGGCAACUACAACCUUAGUUCAGGUCCAAAUCACCUCUCAAAGCAGCAGUCAGAUAGAUAGAUGAAGAAUCGAGAGAGCAGUACCUGGAAACUCAAAUAGGAAAAAAUUAUCUAGGAGGAGAGAGUGGUUAACCAAACAACAAGCAAUCAUUAAAUACCUGCCAUGUGCUAGGCAUCUUGUCGGAUGCUGGAGAUAUAAAGACAAAAAUUAUAUGGUCCCUACCCUCAAAUAGAAGAUGACCUUCAUUUGGAAAAUGGUUAGAUAAAUUGUGGUACAUUAAUGAAAUGGAAUAUUAUUGUUACAAAAAAUGAAUAUGAAAACAGAAAAGCAUGAAAAUAUAUGAGCUAACACAAUGCAGAUGUAAGUAAAGUCAGAAAAACAAUUCAUACAAAGAUGUAAAUUGUGUAAAUGGAAAGACCAACCAACACAAUACGACCAAGACUGAAUGUGGCAACAUUUUAUAAAACUUGGCCCCAAAGAAGAGCUAUCAGAAGGCCCCUCUCCAAACUUCUUUGUAGAGGUAGGGAUCCACAGAAGUGGGCUGUUGAAUAUAAUGUCAGGUUUGGGUUUUUUUCAAUAGUUUUGCUGAAAAAAUUUUUUCUUCCUUUGUAAAGAAAAAAUCUUUGCUAUAAAGGAUGACUUUUUUUGGAGAGAAAGGCAAUUUAAAAACUAAAGAUUAAUUUAAUUUUUUAAAAAAGAUCAUUGGUGAUUUUGGAGAGAGUAGUUUUCAACUGAGUGAUGAGAUAAAUUGUAGACAGCUAAAAAGUGAGAGGAGAGAAAAUGGAGGCAAGUUUUUUCUAGGAGCUUGGUUGUGAAAAGAGAGAAGAUACAGAUGAUAGCUUUAGGAGAUGGUGGCAUCUAGUGACAGGUUUUUAAGUGAGAGAAAUUUAAGCAGCAGGGAAGGAGCCAGUAGAUAGAGAUUUAAUAUGAGAAAGAGAAGAAAUGAUAGUGGAGACAAUCUUCUAGAAAAGACUAGAGAGGGAUGAAAUUAAGAGUCCAUGGAGAGAGGUUGGCCUUGCCAAGGAAAAAGGACACCUCUGAAUUAAAGAAGAGAGAUAUAUUAUCUAGGAAUUGAGGAGAAGAGGGCAUUUACAGUGAAAGAGGUCUAUUUUCUCAUAUUAAAUUUCAACUAUCAGAGUGAAGAUGCAUGGGAUGAUGAAUGGUUUCAGUACAAGGUGAGAAGAGGAACCAAAGGCAAAAAAGAUAUUGGGUAUAUAAGCCUAAUUAAUACUUGGCUACUGAUAGAAUUUCAUGUUCAUAAAAAGUGUUUGCCACUGUCACGAAGGGAGAAGGCCUACCCUUUAGAUGGCAAGAUUCUCUGAGCCUUCCUGUUCUGGAAUGACACUGCCAAUUCCACCAGCCCUGAAAAUGCAGAAAAUCCUAAAUGAUAUCUGUAGUCACUUGCAAGAUUUUACCCUAAUUAUUCAUAUAGUAAAAACUAUGAACCCUAUAAAUAGAUAAGAUCUGGAACUGAAAAGGAGAAAAGCAUGAAUUGCCUUUGAGAAAUUAGAUAUAUAUAGAAGUAUAUUUUACAUGACAAUUAAAAAAACAAAAUUAAAAAGAAAUUAUAUAAUUCUUUUUAAAAAACCUUUACCUUCUAUCGUAAAAUUAAUACUAAGUAGUGAUUCCAACACAGAAAAACAGUAAGGACUAGGCAAGUAUGGUUACGUGACUCGCCCAGGGUCAUACAGCUAGAAUGUUUCUGAAGUCAAAUUUGAACUCGGCACCUCUAGUCUCAAGACCUGGCUUUCUGUCUACUGAGCCCCCUAAAUUCUUUUCUGCAAACUAUGGUCCAGGGAGCCCUCUUUCCUAGGGGGCUCUAGCUCUAAGUCCACAUGGAUUUAGAUGCAGUGUAGGAGCACCUAAUCCCAAAAAAGGAGCUUGAACUUUCUUUUUCUCUGUUGGCUUGUUGCCCCUACCUGAAAUUAAGUCAGAAGGAAUCUCAAAAAAAAAAAAAACUCAGAUAUAGCCAAAAUGGGUAUAGUGUAGAUAUGGCAUUUUAUUCCAACCCUUGUUCUCUGUCCUGACUCUCCUCCUCACUGGCAGAUUUGGGAACCCCAUAUUAGGGAAACAACCAUGCUGAUAUACUUCAUACAAUCUCCUGUCAGGAAUCUAGGGAUAAUCCUUUCAUAGGGUGGUAGGCUACAUUCUUCUUGCUCACUGUCAUAGCUCCUGAGCUCCUACUGAUAUACUUUUUUUUAUUUAUGGAAAAUCAAUUCCAAGACACCAUUCUCUCUCUUUUUUUAACUCCAUAUCUUUUAGUCAGUAAAGCAAAAUGCAAACAAGAAAUUUAUAUAAGUAAAAGAAAGUUAUAUAAUUUAUGCAAAGUUUUAACACUUUUUUAGCAUUCUUUUUAUUUUGAGUUCCAAAUUCUGUCCCAUUCUCCCUCCCCAACCUUAUAAAAAUUUUAUUUUAUAAAAUUUAUAGAAAAUUCUUUAAAUUAAUCUAAAUUUCAUUAAUUUCAUUAAAUAAUUGACAGACUAGUUUACAAAAUUCUUUAAAUUAAAAUUUAAUGUAAGGAAUAAAAUUAAUUGAAUAGCUCAUUAAGUGUUAAUUAAUAAUUUAACAUAGAUUUAUAAAUCAUAAGGCAAAACAAUAAUACUCGUAAUAUUUAUUCAUCAGUAAGCAAAAACAGAAAUAAUCCUAACAUUUGCUCAGUGGAAUAUGGCAAGAAUAAUCACAAUAUGACAAUAUUCCCAUACACCUGGGUUACCUUUUACAUAUACUUGUGAAGGAGACUGAGCAUACAUGCACUUAAAGAAACUUAGCAGGAAGACACAUGAGUGGGGAAACCCUUGACUGCAGAGCGACUCACAACUCUCGUCUGAAGGCCUUCAUGUUAUUGGUCCUUUUAGGAAAAAUCUGCAUCGUAGGACACUGCUUCUCUGUUAGCUGCUCCCUUGUAGGUCCUCACCUCUCCUUGCCAUACAAAACUAUUUCUCUUUUGUUCUUGAACACUUGAAACAGUGAUGAGCUCGUUUUGCUCCUAGAAGCCAACAAAAGCGCACUAAGAAAAGCGUUAAUGCUUUCAGUGACAAACAUUUCCCUUAAGCUGGAGAACUGGCAAGCUCCUCUUGCUAAAUCUGCAAAUAGCAGGGGAUCCCUCUUUGUCCAAUCAGCUUUAAGCCUCUUCUCAUGGCAGAGCGCACCUCGGAACAGGGAUGCAACGUCUAUCUUUUUUUCCCCCAUUUCCACCUCUUAAACCAGAAAGGGCAGCAGAGGGCAAUGCAGGCAUUCCUGAGAGGUUCCUCUCUCUCAGCUGCUCAAGACACUCAAUGGCUCUUCACACUGUGGCAAGAUUCAUCUCUUAUCCAAUGAGCUUGCAGCAGCAGGAGCUCUAGCUUUCCUCCAAAUUAAUCAACAAAGCAACGAUUCUCUUCCAAUCAGAAAAUGCCCAGCAAAGAAGCAGAGGGGUAAACGAUCUCAGCUGGAGUCCUCCUUCUUAAUCUGUCCUAUUGCGUCUUCUCAAAGCUUGUCCUCCUGCUGGCUUCUCAACAGCCUUUAAUGCCUCAAAUCAGAGCCUGUUGGUGGUCCGUGAAUGAUCUUUUGUCUUAUAAGAUAAAACUCCAGAAAUCCUUCAUUCUUUCAGCUCUGAAUCCAACAUUCCUCACGUAAUCUCCCCGGAGUUUCCAGUUUCCAGCUUUGUAAUUUUGUCAGUUACAAAUUUCAAAACUCUAAAAACAAUCCAAUGCAAACGAGCUGAUGGACCACAAUCUCCUGCGGCCAUUACACCCUCAGUUCUUUACUCAACCUUUAAAUAGCUGUUUUCAUCUGUCAACAUGGAAUUUAGGAAUCCCAAACUUGUGGCCUAGUGGGAUCUGAUGAACCCCAAGUUUCAGGACUAGCUUAUAGGCUGGAGACCCCAAAGUUUGUACUUAUUCCCUGUUCCCAUGGGAAUCUACCCUGAGGGUCUCCCACUCAGUCUGAAACUGCUAGCCUGGGAUUCCCUUCUGGAGGCAGCUAGAUUGAGAGCCAGGCCUAGAGACAAGAGGCUCCUUUUCUUAAAAGGAAGCAUUUAGGUCAUAAGGAAAACCUGGCAAAAUAUCAGUGCCAAAAGGGGGGAGGCCUUGCACAUAAAUAAGAGAUUCUAAGCAGCAUUUUUAAUAAACAAGGUUCUGACAGAACACUGAAUUGCUCCCCAGUACUAGUAAAGUUUAUACAGUUUGGAGCUUCAAAUCAAGAAACAAUGAGAUUAGAGAAAGCCUUUGUGCCUAGGAAUACUAAUGAAAUCACCUUUAGACUAGGCCUAAAUUAAGUGGUAAAGGAGUCCUCAUUGCCAAUGAACAAAUACUCAGUAAAAUAAAAUGUGUACCCAAAACUAAUUUAAGGCUACAACUCAGUCCAAUCAGGAGAAUUAUUUUAACAAAAAUUUUUAUCUACAGACUUUACAUUAGCUGACUCAGUUGCAACAUUAUUUUUUUUUCAUACUAGGUAGUAGUUAAUAGAAGUAAAAAGUCUUAAAUUGUUUAAGUGCAUGGUUAUGGUAGUUAAGUGAUUAAAGGUGAAUGAAAACAGUUUCAAAAUCCCUAGCAUCUUAAUCUCCCCAAAGGGGUGUGUAUGAGGUGUGUGAAAGGUUUUAAAAUUGAGGAAAAUUAGAAGAAUUUUAAUCUUGAGAAUUUUGGAGUUUAUUUCAGUAUUGAAACUUAAAUUUGAAUUUAAAAAUAGUUUUGAAGCUGAAAUUGCCAUGCAGUCAUUUUAAUGUGGUUUUGGAUUUUGGGGUGAUAGAAUAUUUAGUUAGAAGUUUACUUGGUGCUGUAAACCUCAAAUUUCCUUAGACUUAUAAUUGUUGAAAAUUUCACCAUUGGGAUAUUUCAUACUUGGAAAAUUUCUUACUGAUAGUCUAUUGGAAUGGGAACCCCAUUGGCAUGGGAGGUUCUUUCUCUUCCCUUCUUAAGAUUACUUUAGGACAGAGACCCUUUGCUGAACAAUGGAAAGGACUUUGAUCUAUGCUUAAGCAUAGAACAGGAAUUUCUUUGAGUCUUGAUUGAUUUUAGAAUUGAUACAAUGGAGAUACUUGGAAUAAAUCUCCACCCUAUUCAGUCCUAAUAGGAUUGAGUAAGGGCUGCAGCCUAGAUCAAAUUUUAAUUAUUCCAAUCUCUACCAUACUCAAGUUAACAGGAUUUAGAAAGGGCUGUAGCAAAGGAGUAUAGAUUUAAUCAUUUGAAAAUAUGACCUUCAACAGACAUGUGCAAAAGCCAGAAACCUCUGGGCGGUCCUGGGUUAAGCGAGAGCCUCCAUUGACAGGGAAAUUGAUGAAGAGUGAUUGGUAGAUGUGAGGACUGAGGGGAGGCAACUUGGAUGGUGUCCUUAAAGAUAGGAGGGUCUGGAGAGGAGAGGAUGGAGUUUUUUGGUCGGUGUGGUUCCUGGGCUCUGAGGAAGCUUGCUCUGAAGGAAGCUGAAGGUGGGGGCCUCUGAGACUGUUUCUCCAUUUUGGACACGUGAGUGAAAGGGACUGAUCUCUUUUCUUUGCCCCAGCUAUCUAAGGGCUUGGGCCUUUUGGCCCAGCCUAAACAGAAGGGGUAUUUAAGCCCUAUUCCCUUCUCUCCCCUUUCUCUCUCUAUAUAUAUCUCUAAUUCCUUUCUUGCUCCUAUUGUAAUUAAACUCCAAAAAAGGCUGACGGCUGACUUGAGUUUUUCAUUUAGGAAUUACAUAGCUGAUUCCUUGGCGACCUUAAAUUAAUAUAUAUCAGUCUUUUAAAGUGAUUCCCUUGUAACAUUGUGGCUGACCACACGGGAGUCUAAAGAAUCCUCUCAAUAAAACUUUUUCCUUGCCUUUUUACUAUACUGUUUCACCACUUAGUCCUUUUUUUUAAAAAAAAAAAAAAACUUGGCUUAAAGACACAGCUGCUAGAACACGUGAGUAUAAAAAACUUUUUCUCUUUUCUCCUUAAGUUAAAUUGGAAUCAGCAGUUUUUUCUUUUUCUUCCCUUUAAUCUUAAGGGACAGCUGGGUAGCUCAGCGGAUUGAGAGCCAGCCCUAGAGGCAGAAGGUCCUGGGUUCAAAUCGGACCUCAGAUACUUCCCAGCUGUGUGACUCUGAUAGACAGAAAACAGCUGUUUUUAAAUCUCAGCAACAGGACUCUAAAGUCCUGGCUGGAAGAACUGUUUCUAAAUAUCCUUUCCCUUAAGGAACAACUUCCUGGAUUAAAAAAAAAAAAAACCCUGUGGAAAGUUUGUUGCUUUGCCCUGCUCCCCACCUGUUUUGUGAAAUUACAAAAUAUACAUAUAAAAAUGAGUACUACAUUCUUUGACAAUUAUAUGGCAGCUGAAGAAGUAGGGGCAUUGAGGAAUGAAGGAUACCUCCAAAUUUUUAUAUUAAUAGGUACUGUCAUUUUUGUACUCCUCAAUACUAUAUUUAGAGAUGAAAAAAUAAAAAAUAUUGAGGAUAAAAUAAAACAAAAUGAGGAUAAAAUAAAACAAAA